CAGAGGCUCAUAGAGGGCCCCACGUCACAGUCCCUGUAAGGGUCAGUGCGACGACUGGAACCCAAGUGUGUGUCACACUGACCUCAUGCUUGUCCAUCACUCCACACAGCCUUCGAUGCAGGAAAUAGGCUGGUUUCUGAUGCACCUGGUGUCUGAGAGAAGCUUUGGUUCUUUCACUUUUCAGCUUUGCCCUGGCCUGGGCCCAGGCCCUACUCCCGAGGUCAGGCUUGUCCCAAGAGAGGCGGGGCUAGGGUGGGUAAUUAUCUCAGCGGUUGCUGUGAGCUCCAUCCAGCUCAGACUUUAUAAUCCUCAUUCGACGAGCAUCAUUCAUCCAAUAAGCUCUUACUGAGCGUCUUCUUCUGUGUCAAAUGUUGUGCCAGGCUUUGGGGACACAGAUGUGAAGACAGGAUUACACAUGGAGGAACCUGGACUUUGGGGUACCUCAGGGUACAGAGUGUAAUCCCACCCCUUUAUCACCUAUGCCAAGCCAAUCAUGGAAUGGUAUGCCCCCAGCCUCAAUGAUGGCUUCCGAAGUGGGAACUUGACCUUAAGUGUUCUGAGCAGAGAAAAACCUAGGACUUUUGUCCCAUGGCAAAGGAAAAAGAGCUUUCUUCUGGAUGCUGCAGAAGGUAGAUGUGAUACCUGGCACAGCUGCAGUCAUUUUAUGACUAUGAGGAAGGCUGGAGGACAGAAAAGGAAACAGAAGAGAGAAGAGCCCUGAUCCAAUUCUGCCUACACAUGGCGGGUUGCCAGACUACAGUUUGAACAGCCUACACAUUCCUUUUAAAUAAAAGGAAGUGAUUUAAAU
rnacentral:lncRNA from 1 species